rnacentral:rRNA from 1 species
CCUACGUGGGGCAGCAGUGAGGAAUAUUGGUCAAUGGACGAGAGUCUGAACCAGCCAAGUCGCGUGAAGGAUGACUGCCCUAUGGGUUGUAAACUUCUUUUAUAUGGGAAUAAAACGUUCCACGUGUGGGAUUUUGUAUGUACCAUAUGAAUAAGGAUCGGCUAACUCCGUGCCAGCAGCCGCGGUAAUACGGAGGAUCCGAGCGUUAUCCGGAUUUAUUGGGUUUAAAGGGGGCGUCGGUGGAUUGUUAAGUCAGUUGUGAAAGUUUGCGGCUCAACCGUAAAAUUGCAGUUGAAACUGGCAGUCUUGAGUACAGUAGAGGUAGGCGGAAUGCGUGGUGUAGCGGUGAAAUGCUUAGAUAUCACGAAGAACUCCGAUUGCGAAGGCAGUUCACUGGACUGCAACUGACACUGAGGCUCGAAAGUGUGGGUAUCAAACAGGAUUAGAUACCCCAGUAGUC